ACGGGGUGCAGCAGGCGCGAAACCUCGUCCAUGCACGAAAGUGUGAACGGGCAAACCCGAGUGCCACCCGUCGUGGUGGCUUUUCUGGAGCGUAAACAACUCCAGGAAGAAGGAGAGGACAAGACUGGUGCCAGCCCCCGCGGUAAAACCAGCUCUUCGAAUGGUAGGCGUGUUUAUUGGGCCUAAAGCGAUCGUAGCCGGGCUUGCAAGUUCCCAGAUAAAGCUCACGUCUUAAGCGUGAAAUCCCUGGGGAUACUACAAGCCUUGGGACCGGGAUAGGGCAAGGGUACGUGUCCGGUAGGGGUGAAAUCCGAUAAUCGGACACGGACCACCGGUGGCGAAGGCGCUUGCCUGGAACGGGUAAAUCUGAGCGUGAUGCUCAGGUUCCGGAACCGACGGUGAGGGUCGAAAGCCAGGGUAGCGAGCCGGAUUAGAUACGGAAUAUCAGAACGAUAUCCCGCUGAAAACCCGGGUAGUCCUGGCUGUAAACGAUGCGGAUUAGGUGUAGCGGUGCACGCGAAGCAUCGCUGUGCCGAAGCGAAGGCGUUAAAUCUGCCGCCUGGAAGUACGCUCGCAAG
rnacentral:rRNA from 1 species